UGAGUAAUGUCUGGGAAACUGCCCGAUGGAGGGGGAUAACUACUGGAAACGGUAGCUAAUACCGCAUAACGUCUUCGGACCAAAGUGGGGGACCUUCGGGCCUCACACCAUCGGAUGUGCCCAGAUGGGAUUAGCUAGUAGGUGGGGUAAUGGCUCACCUAGGCGACGAUCCCUAGCUGGUCUGAGAGGAUGACCAGCCACACUGGAACUGAGACACGGUCCAGACUCCUACGGGAGGCAGCAGUGGGGGAUAUUGCACAAUGGGCGCAAGCCUGAUGCAGCCAUGCCGCGUGUAUGAAGAAGGCCUUCGGGUUGUAAAGUACUUUCAGCGGGGAGGAAGGCGAUAAGGUUAAUAACCUUGUCGAUUGACGUUACCCGCAGAAGAAGCACCGGCUAACUCCGUGCCAGCAGCCGCGGUAAUACGGAGGGUGCAAGCGUUAAUCGGAAUUACUGGGCGUAAAGCGCACGCAGGCGGUCUGUCAAGUCGGAUGUGAAAUCCCCGGG
rnacentral:rRNA from 1 species